rnacentral:rRNA from 1 species
GACAGAGGGUGCAAACGUUGUUCGGAAUUACUGGGCGUAAAGCGCGUGUAGGCGGCUAAGUAAGUCGGGCGUGAAAUCCCACGGCUCAACCGUGGAAGUGCACUCGAAACUGCAUAGCUAGAGUCCUGGAGAGGAAGGUGGAAUGCUUGGUGUAGAGGUGAAAUUCGUAGAUAUCAAGCGGAACACCGGUGGCGAAGGCGGCCUUCUGGACAGUGACGUGACGCUGAGACGCGAAAGCGUGGGGAGCAAACAGGGAUUAAGAAACCCGGG